CGGGACUGGCGGGGCCGGAGAGCCCAGUGCCCAAGUCGCCCCGGGGUGGCAGUUCCCGUUAACCUUAACCACAAAGUCAAGAUAGCAAGGCAAGCGCUGGUGCCCGGGAGGCCUCUGCCGAUGGAGUGUGGCCUGGCUGGUGUGAGCACAGGGGCCUUGUCCCAUGGACCCCAGAGCCCCAGCCUUCCCAGAAUAACCACCACAACGAACCCAAGAUGGAGACAAGCAUCGGGCAGUAGGGUAACAAAGGAACGAGUCAUCCAGCUCGGCGGGGGAUGGGGUGGGGUGGGGUGGGGCAACACAUGGACACCGCGCAUCCUGGGGGCCGGGUCCUGACACAGACUUCAGGGAGCAUAGUCACCCCACUUCCCAGGCCAGCUCCCCACCACUGCCAUGUCAGUUUGAAGCCUGGGAACCCCCAGGGUAUGUGUAUGAGAGCGCAAGAGAGGCUGAUGUUACCAUAAUUACAGUAAAACCGAGGACAGGUGGUUUCAGACGUUUUGGCAGAAGGAACAUUUUCCCAUGGAAACACA
rnacentral:lncRNA from 1 species